AAAGCUUUAAGUGUGUUGGCGUGCUUC
rnacentral:piRNA from 1 species